AUACUACUCCCUCCGUUCGGAAUUACUCGUCCAAGAAAUGAAUGUAUCUAGAUGUAUUUUAGUUGUAGAUACAUCCAUUUUUGUGACAAGUAAUUCCGAACGAAGGGAGUAUUAC
rnacentral:pre_miRNA from 1 species